UUAGCCAUGCUAGUUGCACGAGUUCAGACAUCGUAGCAUAUAGCUCAGUAACACGUGGCCAAACUACCCUACAGACCGCGAUAACCUCGGGAAACUGAGGCCAAUAGCGGAUAUAACUCUCAGACUGGAGUGUCGAGAGUUAGAAACGUUCCGGCGCUGUAGGAUGUGGCUGCGGCCGAUUAGGUAGAUGGUGGGGUAACGGCCCACCAUGCCGAUAAUCGGUACAGGUUGUGAGAGCAAGAGCCUGGAGACGGUAUCUGAGACAAGAUACCGGGCCCUACGGGGCGCAGCAGGCGCGAAACCUUUACACUGCACGACAGUGCGAUAGGGGGACUCCGAGUGUGAGGGCAUAUAGCCCUCGCUUUUCUGUACCGUAAGGUGGUACAGGAACAAGGACUGGGCAAGACCGGUGCCAGCCGCCGCGGUAAUACCGGCAGUCCAAGUGAUGGCCGAUAUUAUUGGGCCUAAAGCGUCCGUAGCUUGCUGUGUAAGUCCAUUGGGAAAUCGACCAGCUCAACUGGUCGGCGUCCGGUGGAAACUACACAGCUUGGGGCCGAGAGACUCAACGGGUACGUCCGGGGUAGGAGUGAAAUCCUGUAAUCCUGGACGGACCACCAAUGGGGAAACCACGUUGAGAGACCGGACCCGACAGUGAGGGACGAAAGCCAGGGUCUCGAACCGGAUUAGAUACCCGGGUAGU
rnacentral:rRNA from 1 species